rnacentral:rRNA from 1 species
AACGAACGCUGGCGGCAGGCUUAACACAUGCAAGUCGAGCGCCCCGCAAGGGGAGCGGCAGACGGGUGAGUAACGCGUGGGAAUCUACCCAUCUCUACGGAAUAACGCAUGGAAACGUGUGCUAAUACCGUAUACGUCCUUCGGGAGAAAGAUUUAUCGGAGAUGGAUGAGCCCGCGUUGGAUUAGCAAGUUGGUGGGGUAAAGGCCUACCAAGGGGACGAUCCAUAGCUGGUCUGAGAGGAUGAUCGGCCACACUGGGACUGAGACACGGCCCAGACUCCUACGGGAGGCAGCAGUGGGGAAUAUUGGACAAUGGGCGCAAGCCUGAUCCAGCCAUGCCGCGUGAGUGAUGAAGGCCCUAGGGUUGUAAAGCUCUUUCACCGGUGAAGAUAAUGACGGUAACCGGAGAAGAAGCCCCGGCUAACUUCGUGCCAGCCGCCGCCGUAAGAC